rnacentral:rRNA from 1 species
UACGGAGGGUGCGAGCGUUGUCCGGAAUCACUGGGCGUAAAGGGCGCGUAGGCGGCUGGGGAAGUCUGUGGUGAAAGCUCGUGGCUCAACUACGAGUCGGCCAUAGAUACUCCUCAGCUCGAGCACUGUAGAGGCAGGUGGAAUUCCGGGUGUAGCGGUGGAAUGCGUAGAGAUCCGGAAGAACAUCGGUGGCGAAGGCGGCCUGCUGGGCAGUAGCUGACGCUGAGGCGCGACAGCGUGGGGGAGCAAACAGG